rnacentral:rRNA from 1 species
UGGGGAAUUUUGGGCAAUGGGCGAAAGCCUGACCCAGCAACGCCGCGUGAAGGAUGAAGUAUUUCGGUAUGUAAACUUCGUAAGAAUAGGAAGAAUAAAUGACGGUACUAUUUGUAAGGUCCGGCUAACUACGUGCCAGCAGCCGCGGUAAUACGUAGGGACCAAGCGUUGUUCGGAUUUACUGGGCGUAAAGGGUGCGUAGGCGGAAGGAUAAGUUAGUUGUGAAAGGCCUGGGCUUAACCUAGGAACUGCAAUUAAGACUGUCCAUCUAGAGUUGAGUAGAGGGGAGCGGAAUUUCCGGUGUAGCGGUGAAAUGCGUAGAUAUCGGAAGGAACAUCAGUUGCGAAGGCGGCUCUCUGGACUCAAACUGACGCUGAGGCACGAAAGCGUGGGUAGCGAACAGGAUUAGAUACCCGUGUAGUCCCUGAGCGGGCUGGCAAGGCGCAU